CGAUAUGAGGGUGAUCUGGCUGUGACAUCUGUUACACCAUUGAUCACCAGGGUUGAUUCAGCUGAUCUGGUUGGCUAACCGGGUGUCUGCUUCCUCCUUUAAGGAUCCACCUGCGUCCCUACGGAAGCUGCGGGCUAAGUUGAAGAAGAUGACCUUCCCGCAAUAGAGACAAACCAGUCUUCUCUAUUUGGGGAAGACCGUCCUCUAUACAAGUAGUUGCGCUCUUCUGCUAGAACCUUCAAACAAGCUCUCAUAGUUCAUGAUUUGCUCUUAUCCAACCUUAACAAUUUCAUCUUUGGGAGUCAGGCGGU
rnacentral:snRNA from 1 species